AACGAACGCUGGCGGCAUGCCUAACACAUGCAAGUCGAACGAGACCUUCGGGUCUAGUGGCGCACGGGUGCGUAACGCGUGGGAACCUGCCCUUAGGUUCGGAAUAACUCCCCGAAAGGGGUGCUCAUACCGGAUAAUGUCUUCGGACCAAAGAUUUAUCGCCUUUGGAUGGGCCCGCGUUGGAUUAGCUAGUUGGUAGGGUAAAAGCCUACCAAGGCGACGAUCCAUAGCUGGUCUGAGAGGAUGAUCAGCCACACUGGGACUGAGACACGGCCCAGACUCCUACGGGAGGCAGCAGUGGGGAAUAUUGGACAAUGGGCGAAAGCCUGAUCCAGCAAUGCCGCGUGAGUGAUGAAGGCCUUAGGGUUGUAAAGCUCUUUUACCCGGGAUGAUAAUGACAGUACCGGGAGAAUAAGCUCCGGCUAACUCCGUG
rnacentral:rRNA from 1 species